GCCGGUGCGGUGGCAUGUGCCUGUAAUCCAAGUCACUGGGAGGCUGAGGUUGGUGGAUCAAGUGAGCUGAGGAGCUCUGGGCUGCAGCACCACUAUGUGAACUGGUGUGUCCACGCCUAAGUUCGGUAUCGAUAUGGGUUCCAGGGGGAGCCCUGGACCACCAGGUUGUCUAAGGAGGGGUGAACCGGCCCAGGUCGGAAACGAAGCAGGUCAAAUCCCCCGUGCUGUCCAGUAGUUGGAUAAUACCUGUGAGUAGAUGCUGCAGUGCAGCCGUGGCAAAACAUCGAGACCUAAUCUUUA
rnacentral:SRP_RNA from 1 species